AGCGGAAAUUUUAUUGGUGCUUGCACCUUUAAAAUUUUAGCGGCGGACGGGUGAGUAACACGUGGGUAACCUACCUUAUAGAUUGGGAUAACUCCGGGAAACCGGGGCUAAUACCGAAUAAUACUUUUUAACACAUGUUUGAAAGUUGAAAGACGGUUUCGGCUGUCACUAUAAGAUGGACCCGCGGCGCAUUAGCUAGUUGGUGAGGUAACGGCUCACCAAGGCAACGAUGCGUAGCCGACCUGAGAGGGUGAUCGGCCACACUGGGACUGAGACACGGCCCAGACUCCUACGGGAGGCAGCAGUAGGGAAUCUUCCACAAUGGACGAAAGUCUGAUGGAGCAACGCCGCGUGAGUGAAGAAGGAUUUCGGUUCGUAAAACUCUGUUGCAAGGGAAGAACAAGUAGCGUAGUAACUGGCGCUACCUUGACGGUACCUUGUUAGAAAGCCACGGCUAACUACGUGCCAGCAGCCGCGGUAAUACGUAGGUGGCAAGCGUUGUCCGGAAUUAUUGGGCGUAAAGCGCGCGCAGGUGGUUC
rnacentral:rRNA from 1 species